UAGGGAAUAUUGCACAAUGGAGGAAACUCUGAUGCAGCCAUGCCGCGUGUGUGAAGAAGGCCUUCGGGUUGUAAAGCACUUUCGGAGGGGAGGAACAAAUGACGUUACCCUCAGAAGAAGCACCGGCUAACUCCGUG
rnacentral:rRNA from 1 species